rnacentral:lncRNA from 1 species
CUCCCCCUCCUUUAUUAUUCUUUUUUUUUUUGCUAGGAUCCCAUUGUACUUAACUGAAUUUUAUAACGCUGAUCGAUAUCUUGGUAAAAUAUUCAUUUUUAAACUAGCGGGCAGUGAAAUCUUUGCUUUGUGUGCUAAAGUCAACAGUCGCUCGGUUUGAGCUCAAAUAAAUGCGGAGAUGCCUCGGCUCGGAGCAGUCCGCCGCCUCCCUCCGCGCGCUGGACGCUCUGCCGCCAGCCCGUCGCACCGCAGCCUGACAGAAAACCAGCGCGCCCGCCGUUCUCCAGCAGGUGCCAAGUGUGGCCGCGUUCCGAGAGAGCCCGCAGGGCCCGCGUGGCGCGGCAGGAGUUGCAGGAACCCCUGGAUCAAGACUAGCUCAACUAUGGCUGAGAAAAAGAAACUCACAACUGUAAAGCAAUUGCACCUCAGUAUUUGCUAUUUGAUUCAGGCUUAAGUUUCCAGGAAAGCCGGCAUUGGAAUUCUUGAGGACCACGUUUCUCACUCUUCAAAUUCCUUGAAAAUGGAUGCUUAUCUUUCCUCAAAGUCAAAAGACUCCCAGUGUAUUUCCUACUGUCCUUUCACUCUUUUCCUAACCCCUAUCUGAAAGCAAAAAGAGAGAAAAUGUUCUUUGGCUUCAUAAUUUCAUAAUCAAUGUGCAAAAAUGCUCUGACGUUUUCCCCAAACCUUCUAGUAAGUCCACAACCAAUGUUCACCAUUUUAAAAGGGUGAGUAAAUUGGGAAGUAAAACACAUUCCCCAGGCUGGGCUGCAAAUACUUCUUUUGAACUUUUAAGUGAUGCUUUCAACAAGGAAUCGUCAUCUGGGCAGAGAACAGACAGUUCCUUUUUAAUAAAUACACCAUGGCUUCAUUGAAAACUAAGUAA